rnacentral:tRNA from 1 species
AUUUAGGUAGCUUAAUUAAAAGUUUAAUAUUGAAAAUAUUAAGAUGAAUAUUUUAUUCUUUAGAUA